rnacentral:lncRNA from 1 species
GUGCACUGUUUCUAUGAAAUAAGCCCUUGUUUUUGUGAAAUCUCAGGGCAGGAACCGAAAGCAAACAUUGCUAACACAUCUUAUCAGCAUCAGGAAUCUAAAUCUCAGUUCUGUGUCUACCUCGUUGGUUUACAAAAUGAUGCUGAUUUAGUAGUCACCUCUCAUAUUGGGUUUUCCGCAAUUAAUUUUGCAGCUGUGUGGAAUGAGGAACAACCACUAUUCAAAGACAAUGACUCACCGUGAGAAAAUACAUGAAUUCUAGGAUCACUUUUCACUAGUGCAGAAGUGGAGACGUGUUUUCUGGAGAGGAUGGUACAUGAAGAAUGAUAAGAACACUGACCUUGUUUUGUCUGAGGAGCUGUUCUUCACCAGGAGUAACUUUGGGCAAACUAAAAACCUCUCUUGGUGCCAAGAUCACAUCGCUAGAAGUUCUACUCUCUUUUUGUGAAAGAAAAGAAAAAUCACAAAGCACUCACCUCCCAACCUCUUCUUUCACUUCCUCCUCCAGUGCCCACCCCGAAGGUAACCCCUCUCCGGAUGUUGGUAUGUUUUGUUUCCAUGCAUGUUUUAUACUUUUACUCUGUGUGUAUUCGCCCAUUAAGGUUAUGCUCUGUUUUGUGAGUUUAAAAUAUUUGCAUAUGUUUUUAUAUAUCUGAUUGGUUACUUUUUUCUUUACUUGAAAUUAUCUAAGAUUUACUCAUAUUGAAUUAUGAAGUUCUAAAUUGUUCAUUUUAACUGCUAUCGAGUAUUCCAUAAUUUCAACAAAGCACGAUUUUUUUGGUACAGUUCUCUGCUAUGGGGAAAUGAUUUCUAUUCUGACCAUAAAAAGCAGAACUGCAAAAUAAUCACCAGUGUAUAUGUUUGUAUAUGUCCAUCUGCAUGAAUUUCUCUAAAAUAAACAGCUAGGAAUGAAAAAUAAUGUGCCAAGGAGUACAAGCAUCUUAAUAUGCCCACAUAAAAUCGUGUGUAUUGAUACCAAC